CUCAUUAUAUUCUAACCCAGUGUGUUCUGUAUAAUGAAAUUCCUCAGAGGAGUAACUUACACAGAUAGGGAGGCUCGUUAAAAACUUUUCUUGACGUGACCACCUGCUGAGAGUUGAUUUAGAACACUGUCACUUACUUUCAAUGAAGUCCAGCUUUGAUGAGGACAAACAAACCACAUGACAGGAACACUAAGCUCUGCUUUGACAUUUUGCAAUAAGGAAAUGUGACCAAAUAGACACAUUGCAGGAGGAAGUGUUGUAAUAUUUGAUUCUCGAUGAUUAGUGUGUGAUAUACUCACAUGGAUGACUAAUAGAAGUUCAUCCUGGCUUCAGCUACCUUUUUUUUACAAGAUCCAAUCAAAAUACACAGACUGAAGGAACAAAAAAGACCUUUCAGUCCAAAUCUGUCCUCAAAGGCCAAGUUAUCAGAGUCAAUAUAUCUCAUAAAAAUUACUUUUAUAUGAUCUGUACUGGAUAUACUAUACACUUAAACAUGACCCACUUAUGUCUAGCAAGAAAACUUUUUAUUACUGAAAAAGCAUUCCCCUAACACUGUAGAUGACAUAGC